rnacentral:rRNA from 1 species
AUUGAACGCUGGCGGCAUGCUUUACACAUGCAAGUCGAACGGUAACAGGCCGCAAGGUGCUGACGAGUGGCGAACGGGUGAGUAAUGCAUCGGAACGUGCCCAGUCGUGGGGGAUAACUACUCGAAAGAGUAGCUAAUACCGCAUACGAUCUAUGGAUGAAAGCGGGGGACCGUAAGGCCUCGCGCGAUUGGAGCGGCCGAUGUCAGAGUAGGUAGUUGGUGGGGUAAAGGCUCACCAAGCCAACGAGCUGUAGCUGGUCUGAGAGGACGACCAGCCACACGGGGACUGAGACACGGCCCAGACUCCUACGGGAGGCAGCAGUGGGGAAUGUUGGACAAUGGGCGCAAGCCUGAUCCAGCAAUGCCGCGUGCAGGAAGAAGGCCUUCGGGUUGUAAACUGCUUUUGUACGGAACGAAACGGCUCUGGUUAAUACCCGGGGCUAAUGACGGUACCGUAAGAAUAAGCACCGGCUAACUACGUG